rnacentral:lncRNA from 1 species
UUUUUUUUUUUUUUUUUUGUUAAAUUAUUUCAUUAAAAUAUGUAAAUAUAUUAUAUAUUUUAGGAAUAUAUAUUGUAAAAUAGAACACUUCCAGAAAUCAAUUUGUAGCAGUUGAGAUAAUUAUUGAUUGUUUAAAAUAGAAGUAAUUUAUAAUUUGAUUCAUACCACUGAUUGUUUUCUUUUGUGAGAGUGACGUGGAUUACAUUUGGCCUAAGGAGUGAGCAGUGAUAGAGCAAAUGAGAAAACCAAUCCGAUUUGGAGACAGCAAGGAUUGUAAAUGUCACCACGCUAUACGUGUUUAUUUGUUGUUUUUUCUUUUUAUAAACAUUUAACUUCAUCAGAACAUUAAACCAAGAAAAUACAUUAAGUCCAACGAAUUUAGGAGGAAAAAAAAUAACAAUGUAUGUUUGAGUUUCAAGAAUAAUUAUCUAUGCUAACCAAACAAACCCUACAUAUGUGAAGUAAUCAAAUUUAGGGUCAUUUUCUUAAAUGGAAAAGAAUGUUGGUUGAAAAGUAAAAAUCCAAUUUGAAAAAGAGAAAUAGUUAUAGAUUAGUUCAUUUUCAAUUGAUGUGAAAUAAUACGAUUUAUGGAAUUAAAAUUACGUAGCCAAUAACCUUGAACGAAGCGUCACAUAGUAGUUAUCUAAACAAUUAUAUUAUUUGACAAAAAGGUUGAUAAUUCGAAUUCUUACCUGUAAAUAAAUUUUUUAUUGAUUAUUAUGUCACGUGUUAAUAAAUUAAAAUAUAUAGAUAUAAUUAUUUAGAAGAUAUGAGGUAAAAACAUACAUUUCGCUCAACCGUGCCUACGACUAUAGUAAAAAGAAAAUGAAACUUAAACCAUUUUAUCCUGCUACAUAAUAUCUCAAAAUGUAAAUUUUUGUAAGCUUGUCUCAUACAAAAUGGUAUCAAAACCUUAUAUCUAAUUACAAAAUAUACUUUUCGUCCAUAUAAAACUUAUUAUACAUUAUUAGUUUAGUUUUAGUCAAACUAAUAGAAAGAUGAUGGGGGAGGGGGGAGUUAAUGAAUUUAUUUGGUUGGCAAAUAAAAAUGUAUCAAUUUAACAUUAUUUCAAAUGAAUAUUUUCUUCUUGUGUUCAGAUAUUGUUAUUAGUAAACGUAUGUCGAAAGAUCUUGCUACAAGCUAUAACCUUGGUUGUUCGAUCUGUUAUAAUAAGGGAGAGGAAGAGGAAGAUUGUGAAAGAAGUCAAUCAAAGAGGGGAUAAUUGUUCACAUCCACGUAGGAAUUACAAAGGCUUGGGAGAUUCUAAGUCACUUAAAGUUGAUUUAGAACAACCAUUUCAAACAUGGAUUGUUCAUUCCUAUAUAGAACGAGAUAUGGAAUGACUUUAGUCCAUACGACUCUUUUGAAGAUCUCUCAUCGACAUAUGUAAUGAAGCUAAAUAGAGCGAGUGAAUAUAUAUAACACAAAUAAAGAAAGUAAUUUUGAAGAGAUGAAACAAGACACGUCUCUUAUGUAGUUAAGAUAUCAACUAAAUAUUAUUAAAUUGGUAUAUUUGUCUACUCAACAAGACAUAUUCAAUAAGCUCUGUAACUUGAAACAUAUAUGUGUUUGGAAUCUCUAUCCUUUUUCUCUUUGUUUUCUUUUUCUUUUUCUGAGAUACACAUAUUAUUCCAAACCAAUCAACCAAAUUGAUCAGUUUCAAAAAAGAAAAAAAAAAAAAAAAGGAAAGAUCUUGUUGGAUUAAUUUGUCCCCAAACAUAGAACCUUUGUGGGCUAAAGUUAGUGGGAAGAAAUGGCCAAAGAAAAAAAAUGCAAGGAGAAACAGCUUAUGCAGUGGGUAUGGAGAAGGAGACCAAGAAUAAUAAUAUUGAUAUUAAUAUCAAUAAUAAUAAUCCAACCAUAUAAAACCUCCGAUGAAUGAAAUCAAAAACAGUUGAAGGCCAGCCCCCAGCACCUUCCAAGUUAACACAACACCCAAAAAAGCAUAUAUAAAUCUAUUUAUUUUUCAUUAAAUAGUCUUGAUCAUACUUUUUAAGAAAGCUAAUUAAUGACUCAAAUUCAAACUAAUUAUUUUAUUUACUAAUAAGUAUAUCUUGUUUAUUAAUUAUAUUAUGUGAUUAUUGGUAAUGGUUGAUGGGAACAAGUUGGUUGGUCUUUUCAAGGGUCAAUUAUUAUAUGCAUGCUGAGAAAAGAAGUGAAUGGAUUGGUAUAUUCCAUUGGCACUCCUCCUCAUAAAAUUAGUGUAGACAAAUCAGUAAGCAAUGGCUCUCUCUUUCUUUCUUCUUUUAGUAGAAAUAUAUAUCUUAAUAAAUUGAAAAGACAUUAGAUUGAAACACACUAUAAGAUAUCUAUUUAAUUUAACAUAGUUACACAUAAAAUCAUGUUAUAUUACACAUUUACAGUGAGAAUUGGAGAAUGCAUAAACAACAAAAGAACAUCAAAUCUUGCCCCCUCUACCAAUAAUCUUUGCAAGAACAACUCCCAUCUCUAAAAUGAUGGAAUCGAACUCUAUCACGCAUUAUGAUCUCUCUAGAAUAGAUUUGAGAUACGAGCUUUGCUACAGUGUGACAAUCUCUACAGAUUCUAAGAUUCUUAAUAACUCGAAUUGUCGUACCUGGUUUCGUAUUGAUCAAUCCAAAAGCAAUAGCUAACUUCUCGCUAUGUUGUGCCAUUGCAGUCUCUUUCUCCUCAUUCUCAAGAUCAAGCAACAAAUCUUUAGUGGCAGGUUCAUAACUGUUAAAAGAUGAGAAUUAACAAAACAUAAGAUAUAUAUAUAUAUAUACACGGUAACUUAUCUGCUGAAGUUUUUGGAUUUAAAGGUGAUUUAGAAGUACCCUUCGUCUUGUCGUAGUCUCUCUGCAAUCUGUUUCAGUUUCAAUUGAAUCUGCUCCAUCUGUGGAUGAUCUUGAUGUCCAGCAAGAAAUUCAUGAACAAUGCCAUUCAAAGUUACUGAACUCUUUCCUGGGGAAAUUGGGACUCCCAGACUCUUCAUCUUCAACCUCACUUCAGCUGCUUCUUUCCAUUUACCUUCUGCAGCUAAAAUUGUAGCCAGCUGAAUGUACCGCCCGCUGUGAUCUGAAUCGACUUCCACCAGGUGAGCUCCGACUUGGCUACCCAGCAGAAAAUCUCUAUGAAUCCAACAGGCCUGAACGAGGAGGAAUGAAUGGUAAGCUUAUGUAGAUCAUCAACUUUUCUCUUUCAUUGAAAACAUGAUUUAGUGCAUUCUAUUUAAGAAGUCGCACUUUAUUUACUUACAUUUUAAUAUCUUAACUAUACUCUUUCGGUUUAUGGCUGUUAAAUUUGGGUUACCGUAAGCCUAUUAUCUAGCAUGAUACUCAUUACUCAGUGAGUGUUCACUAAAAUUUAAGAGAAUAAGGUCACUGGAUUGAUGAAAAAAAAAAAUAGUCUCUCUUCUAAAUUUCUAAGAAAAGUCUUUAAUGAAGUUGGCAGAAAUUCAACCUUUUUCUUCUAGAUGAAGAUUUUUUCUCUCCUAUGUGCAAAUUCCUAGCAACUCACUGAUUUUCCCAUGAUUUAGAAAAGUAGGCAUAUAAAAUUUCCCCCUACCUUUAGCAAAGCUCCCCAAAUUACAGCACUAGGUUUCAUGGGCAUCUUCUUGAUCAACUCUUUCGCUUCAUCCAGCCGCCCAGAUCGACCCAAAAGAUCAACCAUACAUCCAUAAUGCUCAAUAGAUGGAUUCACGUUGUAGAAACAUUUCAUGCUCUUGAAUAACUCUUUUCCUUCUUCAACUAGUCCUCCAUAGCUACAAGCCCUUAGAACUGCAGUGAAAGUGAUGGAAUUUGGCCUUAUUCCUUCUCUUCGCAUUCGGUUAAACCAUUCCAGAGCUUCCACUCCACGCCCAUGAAUGGCAAAGCCAUCAAUCAUAGCCGUCCAAAUAUACACAUCUUUCUGGUUACCCUUCAGUUUCCCAAACACACUCAAGGCUUCUUCCAUAUCCCCACAUUUUACGUACAUAUUGACAAGAGCACAGCCAAUUACUCGAUCAACGUCGACUCCAUUGUUGAGCACAUAGAAAUGGAGCCAUCUUCCUUGAUCCAACGCUCCAAGAUUCGCACAAGCAGUGAGCAAACUCGCAAUAGCAACACCAUCAAGUUCAAAUCCUGCAUUCUGCAUCUCAUAACAAAGACUCAAAGCUUCUACGCUCUGUCCUGCCUCAACAAGCCCCGAAAUCAAAGACGUCCACGAAACCACAUUCUUCAAUGGCAUGUCCAAGAAAACCCCAUAAGCCGUUUUUACAUCCCCAGAUUUGAUAUACCCAUCAAUCAUUAUGUUCCAAGAAACAGCAUCUCUUUCAGGAAUGUUGUCAAACAGUUGGCGUGCACAAUGAAUCUCACCACACAAGGCAUAAACAUGAAGCAGAGCAUUCAAUGCAAAAACAUCCGACCCAAAUCCCAGUUUGAUAACCAGUCCAUGAACUUGAAGUGCCUCACCCAUGGCCAACAAAUUACGACAAGCUCUAAGCAAGAAAGGGAAGGUGUAGGAAUUAUGCGGUACCGAAGAAGAAAGCAUUUGCUGAUACGAGAGAAAUGCUAAUUCUGGUUCGUCACUGUUAGAAUAGGCUCUUAUAAUGGCAUUCCACAUGAAAGUGUUGGGGCUGGUAAUUCCAUUGAAUACCCUUUGAGCGUAAAGCAAAUCGCCGACAUGGGGUGAAGUGCAGAGAGUUAGAAACUUUGUAGCUAAUUUGGGUUCUGUGAUGAUGGCUGUUUUGAUCAUUUGAGCUUGAAUUUGUUUCAAUUGCUUCAUGUUUGAGCAGUUCUCGAGCAGAGCCCAUGUUGAUUGUAAUGGAGAUUCUGCGUUUAGAGUGAACAUCUGGUUUCUUAUGAACUAUCCAAAUAUUUGGGAUAUGUUCAUCUUGGAGAUUCUUAAUUGGAUUAUGAUCAUCCACUUUGUCUUGUUUGUGUGUGGCCAACACUUGUUCAACCAAAUAUCAUUUCGUUUUAGAAUUGAACUAAUACGCUUGAAUGAGAUUAGGAGAUGAUUAUAAUCAUUUUUAUCUCCUUAUUAUUGUUACUAUUAUUUUUUUCUUCUUCUUUUUUGGAAAAUUUUGUAAAGUAAUCCAAAAGGUAAUUUUGUUUUUCAUCAUUUACCUUCUUACUCUUGUCUAUUCAACUCUACCCAAUUUAAUUUUUACUUUUUUUUUCUCUCCAACCAACUUCUUUAAGUAUUUAUUCUCAAUCAACUAAUCUUGUAUCAACAAUGGAACGAGAAAAGUUCCUCUCAAACAUUUUUUCUCAUUUUAUACUCUUCAUUGAAAAAUUAUUCUCCAAGGAAACUCUCUCGAAUAUUUGAAGUUGGUCCUUUGAUUUCUUUAUCGCUUUCAUGACAUCUACUCAUAUCCAUCAUUAGAAACAAACGAUCAAACUAUUAGUGCGAGCUGUUUUUUUUUCUCCGUUUUUUUCUACAUGAUUGUGUAUUAAAGCUCAAACGAUUGAUUAGUUAUUUAUACAAUAUCGCGUAUCGAAGCCUAAACGAUCAGUAAGAAAGACUAAACGACUGUUUGAAUAUUCAUACACAAUCAUGUAACAAACUCCAAGUGAUUGCUUAUAUAGUGUUAAACGAUCAUGUAUGAAGAACUAAACACUAGUUUAGUUUUUUACUUUAGUUUGAAUUACUUUCAAUCGUUUUGGUGUAAGGUUCAAAUGUUGUGUAACAUCAAUUGUCAUGAUUUGAAUAUUUGUAUAAUUUGAAAGAGAAUAGAAUCAGUCAUUUAAAAAUAUGUGAGGGGUCAGACGAAAGAAUUGAAGGUUAGGCAUGAUAUUACCUAUUUCAAAUUUGUGAGUUAUUUGCAUAAAAAAAAUGAACAUUGAUUUGAAUAUGUUUGUUAUACUAUCAAGUGUUGUCACAAGCUAAAUGUUUCAACCCCUCCACCACAUAUAAAGGACAUUUGAUUAAGAUAAUUUUACAUGAGGACAUUUUUCGAAAUGAACGGUUAAAGUACAUAAAAAUUAGUUCGACAAAAAUACAUAUGAAGUUCAAAGGGAAUAAGAAAAGUGUAAAAGUAAGAUGAACAUUGAAAGAAGCAUCAAAGAGGAUAAAAGAUGAUUGAGAUUCAACCUUAUUUUACAUUACAACCGUAAAAAGGGAUAUUCUACAUGUUAUUUAGCCCUUUAACGUGUUUUAAUAAACGAAGAAACUAAACGAUCGAUGAAUUAUUUACGGUGUGAUCGCGUAUUUGAGUCUAAACUAUCGAGCACUUACCACUAAGUGAUCGUUUAAUAAAUACUAGGUGAUCACACACUUAUAAUAAUUUGUAAAAUUUUGGUUCAUUAAGAAGUUGCUUGAAGAGAAAUAAAACAAUUGAAUAGAUGAGGAUAAGAAAGUAAAUUCACAUUAUAAAAUGUUGCUUAUAAUAAAAUUUGGGAAAAAGUAUUUACUAUUUGGUCACUUUGUGAAAUUUGAAAACUUCUUGAAACCAAACAAACUAAUAAUUGAAAUGCAUUUUUAGAAUGAAAACUAAACUAAAUUUUGAUGAAGUUUAAGUUCUAACAUAAUUUGAAUGAUUAAGGUUUAAAUCUUCCAUUACAAAAUAUGAAUCUAUACAUAUUGUUUAUGGAGAGAAAGGGAAAAAGAAAAGGAAAAAGUUUCAUUACAAAAUCCUCAAUUUAUGAGUCUAGGAAAAGUUGAAAGAAAAAAAAUUCAACAAACCAACAUUGAAACAAUGCAAACAAGCAAUAUAACAAAAAUGAUAGCCCAAACCCAAUACACCCAUUUCUUGUUCUUCCUCUUCAUCUGCUUCGCAUAAUAAAGGCUUCGAGUUCCACCAUUGAUGAACUGCCCAGCUUUCGCCACAUUCUCUUCAAUAUCCUCGAUUUUUUCCCCUUCACUCUCAACCAAAAUCGCCAUAUCCAAAAACACCUGAUGAAGCUUAUUCAAACUCCUCUGUAUAUCCAUCACUGACUCGUGCCUCACUCGAUCCUCUGACUCGGUCUCACUCAAUUUCCCUCCUAACAUUUCCAAUUUCAAACUCCCAGACAUAAUCUUCUCCACUUGUUCUUCACUGGGUUGUUCCCCAGUUGCACUAAAAUACCUUCUUCUCAGAUCUUCCUUAUGAUCCGCCACAACUUUUUCUCUCAACCCCUGAAACUCGUUCAUCAUUUCUCUCAAUUUCACUCUCAAUCCGUUCGUGAUUGAAGUUCUUGUCCUGUCCACGAUGGUUCCUUCGCCGUACGCGACGGAGAUCAGGCGGUUGGCGGUGUUGGAUUGGUCGAGAGAGGCCAAUUUUUCUUUGAGGAUUCUUGCUCUGCGGAGGGUUGAAACCAUAUCGGAGUCGAUUCUGUCUCUUAAUCCACGGAGGAUUUUGGCGUUGUGGGUUGAUUUGGCUUCUUGAUUUAGUUUCUGAAUGUCAACUAAGAGAUUGGUUGUCUCUUCCAUUUGGGUCUUGAUUUCAUCGACUUUUUCGAAAAACAGAGACAGGUUCUGUUCUUCCGUCGGAUUCAGUUUUUGGCCACCGGAUUCAAUGUCGAAGCCGUGGCCGCCACCGCCUACAGCUUCCCUCUGCGCCUGUUUCUUCAGUUCUACAUAACUUAAGAACGAUUUCGUCAUCAAGUCGUUCAUCUUCGCCGAUUUGAGUAUGUUCUGCAAGAUUCAAGAAUAAAUUUAAAAGGACCCAGAAAGAAAUGAAAAAGAAAAAGGAAGAGAAAGGUACCUUGAAUGGGUGGGUGGUUUCAGAAAUUCAGAAGAAAUUUGAAUUUUGGGAGAGUUUUGAGCAGAGGGAGAAAUUUGGUUAGACGUUUUUGGGUUUAAAAAUGGGAAUGGGGAUUUGAAAUUUGGUUAAGUUGAAGAAAUAGCCGUUGCUUCAUGCAAGACAGUUACUCCUCCAUGAUCGGUCGGGCAGUUACGUUAGACGUCGAUAAAACGUCGACGAACAUUGCCACAGUUAAAUUUAUUUAGUUAAUGGAAUUUGAUAGAUAAAUUUAUUUAAUUAAAUAAUGGAAUUUGAUUGUGUGAUUAUGGAUUUUUUUUGUACAUUAUCAAUGUUCUUUUAUUGGGAUUUUUUUAUUAAAAAACUACUAAUGAAUUUUUAUCUAGAAAAAGAUGGGUUGAAUUUAUGAAUAAUUUCUCUGAUUAGUUUACAAGCUUUUUUUUACUGCCCACGCUCUACUUUAUUUAUUAUUAUUAUUUUGUAACCCAAUUCUAAUUGAACCUAAUGGUUAAAUAUUGGUCGUAAGUUGUAAUUACAUCACUAAACUUUAAAACGUUAAAUUUAUAUAAUUGUGAGUGUUUUGAGCUGUUUUCACACACUACAACAAAGCCUAUCAUUGGCUAUAUUUGCAAAAAUUUAAAAAUAUUGCCACACAAUUGAUUACUAUUCCCAAGAUUUAAAAAAGUGAGAGCACUUUAUCUAAUGCAAGGCAUACCGUUUUGAAAUGAGGAAAAAUAAAAUACUAAACCAUGAACGAGUAUGAAAAGUGUACCAUUGGUGUAAGAAUGACUUUGUUUUUCUUGUCAUUGGUAUUAAAAUGAUACAUUUGGAGUUUUGGUUUCUCUUCACCCUAUUUCAAUUGUCUCUCAACUGUGUCUGAAAUCUAUAUCUCUAUCUCUGCAUAUGAAACUUUUUAGCCAAUCCAGUUAUUGCUCUAAUGAAAUUAUCUCACUUCCUUCUAAAUCCAUAUCUUCAACAGCCUAUGAAGAAAAAGAUUCUAUCAAGAACUUGUGAAGCUGUAAUGAGUAUAUAUCAGGGUACGUCCUGUAAUGGUCAACAUGUGGUGACGUGCCGAAGUUGUACGAAAAAACCUUCCUUCCUGUCAUCAUCCUCUUCUUGAUCAGUAGCUCGAUUGACGUGUAAGGUACAACUUUAUCUCCUGAACUGUACAGAUAAAGCUCAGGAUAUGGAGGUUGGUUCUCUGUAAGAACUGAAACAAUGUUGUUCAAUCUCCUGCAAGGAAAUGUUAAUUUCUCAAUAAUCAAUAUGCAACUAUUACAAGAUAGAAGAAAGUGACAUUAUUCGAGGUGUGUAUAAGCUGACCGAAGCACUCACAGAUAUAAAAAAAUGCAACCAUAUGACAUGUGCAUGCCCAUUCAAUCAUUCGAUCCUCAAGCGAAUAUGUAUCCAUGUCUGGAUAUAAUCAGAAUUAGAAAGCUUACUUAUCAACAUCUGGCAACUUCAAAGCAACAGAGAAGAACUUCUCCAAUGAUGAUAGGAAAAUUGUUUCCAACAAAAGAGGUUUCUUGUCUAUUUCCUCUCCAUUUACCAUUGGAGAUGCAGAAGAACUAUUUUUCUUGAGAAUGGCUGCAGAAAAUCCAGCUGCCCAAACCUGCCAUUGUUUGUAGUAGAGAUGGAAUCAUAUCUCUUCUAUUAUGAAUGAGAAUAAAAUGGAAAGUAAAAUAUAUUGGAUGAAACACACCAUCUAAUUCAGAAUGGAUAAGUGUCUGCUAGCUAUUAUUAUAUUAUUGUCUCAAUGCUUAAACAACCUAACUAGUUCUAACUGUUUGCAUAUGGUUCAAUAGUUCAUGACAAAAAAAAAAAAAAAAAAAGUUAAAACCAAAAUUUCUGAUUUUGAAACUAUUUAGAAGCCCAAGUAAAAAAUGGGAGUUGGAAAUUUUCAUGAAAUCUUGGGUAAAUGAUCAUAUAAUCAAGAACACUUCCAGAUUCAAUCAUUACCAACAGGCCUUUAGAACUAGGAAAGAAGGAACAGAGAGAUAAGGAGAUACACCAAAAGGAAGAUUGAGGUUGAGAUCAAAUGAUAUUUGAAGGGCAAUAGCCAGUUCCUACUAGACUUCCACCUCUAAAUCCUACAUUACGAUGCAAACUUCAAAGAUGAAUAGGAGUUCGUUAACUUGCAGAUGUUUUUCCAACAGUUAAAAGAAAGCAGAUAAUAGUUUAGAACUGAUUUUCAUAUCAUUGUUGAAGCACGGUUCCAAGAUUCUUCUACAACUAUAAUUUCACAAACCUGCGGAUUCAACGGAUCACCUCCUCCAGAAUCAACGAUGCACCCUUUAAUCUUCUCCAACAAAUCUUUCCGCCCUUGCAAGAUUUCAAGAAUGGCUCCAUAUCUGCAGGAAACAAGAAAAUGAAACAAAGCUAAUUCUGUGUUAAAAUCACAAAGAACAACUGAAAUAAGAUACCGAUAACAAAAUUCAACAUACACAAACCAGCCCGUGUUGCUAAAAGUAUGAAAAAUCAGGGAUCGAUCUUUAUCACUCUCUUCCCCUUCCGAUAACCAAGAAAUGAGUUCAACCGCCAAAUCCGAGAUCCGCUGCUCAACUUUCCGACUCAAAGCGAACCAAAGAAACUCUCUCGGAUCUACAAUAAACGUCAAUGCGUUGAUACCCCUCGCAUUGUACCACUCCACAUACCUCCUCAGAUGCUUAGUCUUUGCCCCAAGCCAACCUAACAAAACAACGGUCGCCGCCCCCUUUUCGCCCCGCAAAACUCCUACGUUGUUUCCAAUUGCACUCUCUGAAGCUCGAUUCCAAGUCCAGUCACUUCCGUUUGAGUCGAAUAGAAAUGAACUGAAGUAAUCAGACGCAAAUUGAGAGCCGAAAGACUGUAAUGAGGGUAAAGAAUAAAGAAAAUUAGAAGGGAUGGAGCCAAGAGAAGAUGCGGAAGAUCCAAAGGAAGAGGAGCAGCAGUGAGAAAGAUUAAGUGAGAGUGAAAUUUUGGAACCGAGGUUUUUGCGAGAAGGAGAAAAGUGGAAAUAGGUUGAAGAUUGCCGGAAAAUCGCGCUCCGAUAGGAUUCAGGAGAUGAAACGAGGCGAGAUUGAGGAAUUGUUUUUGAGAAGAGACCGCGAUUAAGAACGCAGGGGCGAAAUGCUCUAACUGGAGCCUCCAUGGUGGCAGUUCCGGCGACGACUUUGAGAAGAUUAGGUAGUGCUUCUCCAAAAUUUCCGGCCACAACCAAAGCCAGUUUCUGAACUAUGGCCGAAGUCGGAGAAGGAUUUUUUUUCCCGGAAAGCUGCGUUGGAGGCUGAAGGGUUUAUUUAUUUAUAUUUAAAUUACACCUUUGGUCCUUUUUGGAAGAUAAUUACACCUUUGAUCCUACACUUUGUACUUAUAAGCAAUAGAGUCCCAAAUAUUUGAAAAAUAUUAUAUAAUAAGUUCUUGAUGUUCUUCUAAUCAUAUGCCUAAUAUAUAUAUAUUGAAUACAAAAUUUUGCUUUUGAAGAAAAAAAUUAUUUUUUCUAUUUUGCAUAAAUAAAUUGUUUGUUCAAUCCAAAGAGCGAAUAUAGCUUUAACUCAUCUAAAGCAUAUAUAUCGAAGAGUUAUUUAUAAACAUUAUCGUAUAUUCAAGAUGUACUGAGGUUGAUUUUAGAUUGAUAUUUGUACAUAUUUAUAUUAUAAUUCAUAUAUGUAACUGUAAUCAAAUAUAUAUUGAAAGAGCGAAUAUAUAUUAUAUCAAACCUACAUUAAGGCAACUAUUUUUAAAAUAUUUUGUAGCCUUUUUAAAUUCCCUUCUUCUUAUUUGUUUGAUAUUAUUUUUUUGCAAUUCUUCUUUUUCCAUGUUUGUUAUCUUCAUCUUCUCAUAUUUUUUUUAAAUUAUGAUAUUUGUUUUUUAUCAAUCAUCAAUUUUGUAUUGUUUUUUUGAAAUGUUAUUGGGUUCAAGAUCAUGUAUCAAUAUCAAAUAGUUGGAUAUUAAUACACGAUCAUGUGUCAAAUAUAAAUUUACAUAAUCGUGUACCAAAUAUAAAAUUUAAAAUAAUCUACAAUUUUAUAUUUGGUAUUUAGUACUUGUUGGCGAGGAUCGUUUAGAUUUGAAAAGACUUAUGCACCUGUAGUCAAUUGAUUGUGUGUUAACUGAUAUUUUUUUUUUUUUGUAUUUUUCACUGUGCGUGGUGAGUUUUUUUGUUUUCGAAAUUAGUUUGCAUGACAUCCCAAAUUUUCACGUAUUUAUGGCAACUUAGUUUUCAAUUUUUUUAGGGAAGAAGGAAAUAAUUUUAAAAAGGAAAAGAAAAUAGAAGGAAAAAUUAAAAAAAUAGUAGAUUUUACAAAAAUAUUUACAACUACAGUAAAUUCUAUCGUUCAUAGUUGAGUUGAUAUGUUAUACGAUAUCACUAAUAUAAAAUUCAAAAUUCUGUUGUAAAUAAUUUAAUUCGUUAUUUUUAAAAAUGCUUCAAAAUAAAAAGUAUAAAUAAUUAUGAUAUAAUAAUAAUAAAAAUAAUAAUUAUUAUUAUUAUUAUAUUUAUUUUAUUAUAGAUUUUUUUAAAAAAAGAGAGAGAAAUCGCGUGCCCCGUUCUUCUUCCUCCAUCUUCAACCCUCAGCCGCCGCCUCCCCUAUUUUUCCCUUUCCCUUCUCUUUUUUCCGUUCGAAUCCACCGCCGACCGCGAUUCGUCUCUGUCUUCCAUUGAAGCCGAAGCGUCGUCGUCGUUGGUUCGAGCCGCCGGCGUCGCUCCCAUCUCAGCUUUCUGUUUUCGACCGCGUCCCGUCUCCGUUCCCGCAGCCGAAACGUUCUGUUUCGUCCGCGAAGCCCAGUCGCCGCCUCCUUCUUCGCUUUCGGUCAGGCUCCGUCACGUCUCCCUUAGCCGACCGACCCAGUUUUGCCUUCCUUCGCGUCCGACCGCCGUGAAUCUUGGAGUGCCGCCGCAUCUCUUUCGUUGGCCGACCGUGAAGCAGCCACGCGCGAUUUCCCUCUUCCAGCCGCGAGUUGCAAGCCAACCCACGCUCAGAUCUGUUGCACGCUCUCCUUCGUGUUACUCUCUAACGGCAAGGCAGAAGCGGCCAUCGGUUUCAUGCUUGGGUAAGAACAAAUUUGUCGGUUUCGUUGCUUUUUGUAAUUUUGAAUUUAAUUAUUUAAGAAAUAGUCUUUUAACUCGUAGCAGUUAUAUAUGAUAUUAGUCUCAAUAAAUUUCACAAAACUUAUAAAUUGAUCUAUAUAUAUUAAAUUAUUUUAAUACUCAUUUAUGUUAUUUAAUUGAUUUAUAAUAAUUAUCUAAAUAGAAAGAAUGAUUGAGCCAAAU